rnacentral:rRNA from 1 species
UACAGAGGUCUCAAGCGUUGUUCGGAUUCAUUGGGCGUAAAGGGUGCGUAGGCUGUGCGGAAAGUUAGGUGUGAAAUCCCCCGGCUCAACCGGGGAAUAGCGCUUAAAACUACCGUGCUGGAGGAAGACAGAGGUGAGCGGAACUUCGGGUGGAGCGGUGAAAUGCGUUGAUAUCCGAAGGAACACCGGUGGCGAAAGCGGCUCACUGGGUCUUUUCUGACGCUGAUGCACGAAAGCUAGGGGAGCAAACGGG